UUUUUGUCUCACCCAAAGUGAUCCUUAUUGUUCUUUUAAAUUUAUAACAUAAUUGUGUGUUUACUGUUCAAAUAUUGCUAAAAAACAUAUUAUUAUUAAAUGUUAAACUAUGUUUUUACGUCCAUGGAAACUGUCUCAUAAUGGCUUAAUAAUAAUCAAAAUCACAUUCAAUAUACAUUAUAAUUUGAUUUAACGGACGCGACUGUAAAUUAGUAAUAAUAUUGUGCACAAAAACAAACACAAAAAUCAUCAUGGUGAAUUUGGUCGAACCUCCACUUCUUGCUGUCGGUACUGAGGUCAGUGUCUAGUAUAAAGGAGCAUUUUGUGAUGCAAAGAUCAGGAAAAUCUCAAAAUCAGUAAAAUGCAAGAUUGGUGCAAAUGUAAUGAAAAGAAAGAAUUAUAAGAAGGAACAAUUAAAAAAAUACAGGACUAUAGUCAAAACACUGGAAAGUGGAGAGGAAGACAUUUUAGAAAUGGAAAAAAAAGACAUUGGUAACAUGGUGUGCAUAGAGUUCAAUAACAAAAAAAAAGUCAGAGACAAUUGGUUUCCCGGGUUAGUGCUAGCGCCUACUGCACAAUUUGCAGUUAAAACAAACGUUUUGGAAGACUACUUGGUUUGUUCUUUUAAAGAUGAAAAAUACUGUACAGUUUUGAAAAAAGAAAUUACAGAAUUUACAAAAGAAAUAGCCCCCAAAGUAGAAAAUCCUCCUUUAAAAACGGGUAUUUAUUUUAAUUACAGCAUUGUUAUUUUAUUUUUAUAAAUAUCUUUUCGUUAAUACAAUUAAAAUUUCUAUAGCUGUUGAAAAAGCGAUUUUAUAUCUGGACAAAGAUGAACUUUGGCCACUUUUAGGACCGUGACUUACUGUUUGGACUCGAAAAAAACUGUGUCAUGACAGUGAAGGCGUUAUAAUAUUGAUGUAAAAAAUUAAAAUUUAAUACAUUUCCAUUUGGUAAUUAAGGCAGAAGUUAGUUAGUUUUCUUUAUUAAUUUUAGGUAAUUCUUUUUUUGCCACAUUUGAAAUAUAAUUUUCCAUCUUUGUUAACAUUGUUAGUCAAAUAACUGAACCGCUUUUACAGAUAAUUCCGUUUUGACUUAUCAUGUUCUGUCAUAAUGCUACAGAUUUAUUUUUAUCCUUUAUCUGUUUACAAUAAAAUUAUCAACAUUUCUUAGAACUCCAAUUAAGAAUCUAUUGAAGACCAUUUUGGGCACUAUUAUUCAAUUUUAUGGAUGUCCGAGGAACACCUAUAAAAACCAAGCACCCAUGAUUAACGACAAAAAUGUUGAUAUGUACAAACUGUUCAAGGUAUUUAAUCGAUAUUUAAUUUAGCUUAAAGUACACGUUAGCGUAAAGAGAAUCUAUUGAACAUUCAAUUGGGUGUUUAAUGAUUGUCAGUACAGUAGCUGUUAAUAAAACUAACUGAUACAGUGUUUUAUUAUGUUGACACAAUUUUCAAAAUAGAUUCGAAAAAAAUAUAUGUUUGAAUUGCUUUUGGUGUGUUAUUAAGUUAUACAUUAUAGAUUGAUAUUGAUUGUUAAAGAAUCUUAUGCAAUGUAUAUUAUAAUAUCAUGAUGUGGCUUAACGGGUCUUGAAGGUCCAACUCUGCUAUCAUGAGAUUGUUUCUAGAUGAAUUCGCUAUCCAGAACGGAUUGUCAGUCCGAAGAAGUUGUCAUUAACUUGGGCGGUUUUAACAAAGUCGGUAAAUGUUAACAGUGGAUAACUGGCACAAAGGAUUGGCCACAAACCGUGUUUCUUCUGUCAAACAAUAUUACCAACAGUAAGUGUAUCUACAUAGUAUUGAAGAUUUCUACCGAAAACUCGGCUGCUUGAUGAUAAGUCAUCUUAGAGGAGUGAGAUCUGGAAGCAGAUUUAGUCGCAGUAUCAUUCAUGAUGUGGAUAAAGCGUUACCCUCUAGCAGUUUUGAUAAGAACAGGCAAACGACUAUUGCCAUUAAAUUAGAACCUAAGGAAUAAAAAGAAAAAAUAGAAACUUUCAUAAAGGAAGCCGAUAUUGUCAAAGAACCGGUGACACCAAAAAAACCUUCCAAAACUUUAAAAAUCGAAGACAAGGUUGCUUUAACUAUGAAGAGUAGUGAUAAACAUGUUGCUAAGAAAGUAGAUAAGAAAAAAGCCAGACCUGAAACAAUCGGAAAGAAAACGGAACCGUUUGUCUGAAAAAAAGCCUUUGAAAACCGUAAGGGUAGAAGAGAAGGUGGCAGCAACAUUAAAGAACAACAUUGAAAUUCCACACAAAGUUGACAGAAAAAAAGAAAAGUCUGAAAUCGUUUUGAAAGAAAAGGAAAUGGCUACUGAGUCUGUGACUAAAAAGCCAGGUAAAACGAAAAUAGAAGAAACAAUUACUUGUCCUGGUAAUAGUGCUCGAAACAAAUCUACUGUUAAAAGUGACUCUGUACUGGCUGAAUCAAAAGAUCUUCCUAAGGACAGCAAGGUUAAAAAGGAAUUUAAAGAAGCUACUGUUUAAAAAAAGAAGGAAAAUGAUUGAGGAAAAACGCCAUUGUUAAAAAAAUCCAAAGAGAAGCUUCUGCUAACCAAAUUACAGCCAAACCAAAAACUACAGUACGUAUUUUAACAAAAGUUAUUCUAUUUCAUUAUCUAGCUUUGUUAUUUUCAAAAAAAUAUGCAAAUGGAUCAAUGAUAAGAUUAUCAUGGCAUACAUACAUUUCAAAAAAUCAUAGAAAAAAACUGAUAAUGCUAGACGCUUGCUAAAAAGACCGAAUGAAAGUGGCAACACUGUACAAAUCUCAUCAAUCGAAAAUAAUUGUGAAUGAGAUCUCUAAAAAAAAUCUCACAACCAAUUUUUUGAAAAAAAUUGAGAUUUAGAAUUACAUCUCAUGGCUGUUACAAAUAACAAAGUAAAAAAACCCGUGGCGGUCAACGUGUUAAGUACAUCUUUUAUCUUUUGUAAGUACCCAAAAAGCCUACGCCAAUGACAAGAGUUGAUCGAUUUCAAACAUUAAUAUGUUAGCUGUGUUCAAUCUACUGUCAAGUCUCAAAUAAAUACAAAUGUGAUUGACCGUUAUUCAUUUGAUCAGUUUGUAAAUAAAUUGCAUUAAGUAGAGUAAUUGUAACUCGAUAGGCCAUGUAAGUGCAACUGCUAGUGUUUAAUCGAUGCUCUUUAAUUUUAAUUAAAUUUUACUACAAUCAUUAGAUGUGUAAGCGAUUUAACGUAAACAAAAACAAAAAAAAUAUUUUAUGUAAUUAGUUGAUGUAACCAUCUUAACAAUGCAGACUUUUUUUAUUGA